rnacentral:rRNA from 1 species
UACGUAGGGUGCAAGCGUUUAAUCGGAAUUACUGGGCGUAAAGCGUGCGCAGGCGGUUUUGUAAGUCUGACGUGAAAUCCCCGGGCUCAACCUGGGAAUUGCGUUGGAGACUGCAAGGCUGGAAUCUGGCAGAGGGGGGGUAGAAUUCCACGUGUAGCAGUGAAAUGCGUAGAGAUGUGGAGGAACACCGAUGGCGAAGGCAGCCCCCCUGGGUCAAGAUUGACGCUCAUGCACGAAAGCGUGGGGAGCAAACAGG